rnacentral:rRNA from 1 species
GCGAACCGGGAGAACUGAAACAUCUAAGUACCCCGAGGAAAAGAAAUCAACCGAGAUUUUGUGAGUAGCGGCGAGCGAAAGCGAAGGAGCCUGUUAGUGAUAGCGGAAGUAUUAGAGGAAUUGGCUGGGAAGCCAAAUCGUAGAGGGUGAUAAUCCCGUACUCGAAAAUACUUUUGUGGUACUGAGCUAACGAUAAGUAGGGCGGGACACGUGAUAUCCUGUUUGAAGAUGGGGGGACCAUCCUCCAAGGCUAAAUACUCCUGAUUGACCGAUAGUGAACCAGUACUGUGAAGGAAAGGCGAAAAGAACCCCGGUGAGGGGAGUGAAAUAGAACCUGAAACCUUGUACGUACAAGCAGUGGGAGCCCGCAAGGGUGACUGCGUACCUUUUGUAUAAUGGGUCAGCGACUUAUAUUUUGUAGCGAGGUUAACCGAAUAGGGGAGCCGAAGGGAAACCGAGUCUUAACUGGGCGAAUAGUUGCAAGGUAUAGACCCGAAACCCGGUGAUCUAGCCAUGGGCAGGUUGAAGGUUGGGUAACACUAACUGGAGGACCGAACCGACUAAUGUUGAAAAAUUAGCGGAUGACUUGUGGCUGGGGGUGAAAGGCCAAUCAAACCGGGAGAUAGCUGGUUCUCCCCGAAAUCUAUUUAGGUAGAGCCUUGAGCGGACACCUUUGGGGGUAGAGCACUGUUUCGGCUAGGGGUCCAUCCCGGAUUACCAACCCGAUGCAAACUACGAAUACCGAAGAGUGAUACUCAGGAGACACACGGCGGGUGCUAACGUCCGUCGUGGAGAGGGAAACAACCCAGACCGCCAGCUAAGGUCCCAAAGUCUAUAUUAAGUGGGAAACGAAGUGGGAAGGCUUAGACAGCUAGGAUGUUGGCUUAGAAGCAGCCAUCAUUUAAAGAAAGCGUAAUAGCUCACUAGUCGAGUCGGCCUGCGCGGAAGAUGUAACGGGGCUCAAAUAUAGCACCGAAGCUGCGGCAUCAGACGUAAGUCUGUUGGGUAGGGGAGCGUUGUGUAAGCGGAUGAAGGUGGUUCGAGAGGGCUGCUGGACGUAUCACAAGUGCGAAUGCUGACAUAAGUAACGAUAAAACGGGUGAAAAACCCGUUCGCCGGAAGACCAAGGGUUCCUGUCCAACGUUAAUCGGGGCAGGGUGAGUCGGCCCCUAAGGCGAGGCUGAAAAGCGUAGUCGAUGGGAAACGGGUUAAUAUUCCCGUACUUGGAUAAACUGCGAUGUGGGGACGGAGCAGGUUAGGUUAGCGUGCUGUUGGAUAUGCACGUUUAAGUUCGUAGGUGGGGAGUUUAGGCAAAUCCGGACUUCCUUAACACUGAGAGAUGAUGACGAGGCUCUACGGAGCUGAAGUAACUGAUACCACACUUCCAGGAAAAGCCACUAAGCUUCAGGUUUAUCUAAACCGUACUGAAAACCGACACAGGUGGUCAGGUAGAGAAUACUCAGGCGCUUGAGAGAACUCGGGUGAAGGAACUAGGCAAAAUAGCACCGUAACUUCGGGAGAAGGUGCGCCGGCGUAGAUUGUAGUCCCUUGCGGGCGAAGGUUGAACCGGUCGAAGAUACCAGCUGGCUGCAACUGUUUAUUAAAAACACAGCACUCUGCAAACACGAAAGUGGACGUAUAGGGUGUGACGCCUGCCCGGUGCUGGAAGGUUAAUUGAAGAUGUGAGAGCAUCGGAUCGAAGCCCCAGUAAACGGCGGCCGUAACUAUAACGGUCCUAAGGUAGCGAAAUUCCUUGUCGGGUAAGUUCCGACCUGCACGAAUGGCAUAAUGAUGGCCAGGCUGUCUCCACCCGAGACUCAGUGAAAUUGAAAUCGCCGUGAAGAUGCGGUGUACCCGCGGCUAGACGGAAAGACCCCGUGAACCUUUACUAUAGCUUGACACUGAACAUUGAAUUUUGAUGUGUAGGAUAGGUGGGAGACUUUGAAGUAGUCACGCCAGUGAUUAUGGAGUCGACCUUGAAAUACCACCCUUUAACGUUUGAUGUUCUAACGAAGAUUGCGAAACGUGGUCUCGGACAGUGUCUGGUGGGUAGUUUGACUGGGGCGGUCUCCUCCCAAAGAGUAACGGAGGAGCACGAAGGUUUGCUAAUCACGGUCGGACAUCGUGAGGUUAGUGCAAUGGUAUAAGCAAGCUUAACUGCGAGACAGACAAGUCGAGCAGGUACGAAAGUAGGUCAUAGUGAUCCGGUGGUUCU